CAACACCAGGGUGUGAUGGUGGGCAUGGGCCAGAAGGACUCCUAUGAGGGCGAUGAGGCCCAGAGCAAGCGGGGCAUCCUGACCCUCAAGUAGCCCAUCGAGCGCAGCCUUGUCACCAACUGGGACGACAUGGAGAAGUUCUGGCACCACAUCUUCUACAACGAGCUGAGCGUGGCCCCCGAGGAGCACGCCAUGCUGCUGACCGAGGCCCCCCCUGAAUCCCAAGGCCAAUCACGAGAAGAUGACCCAGAUCAUGUUCGAGACCUUCAACACCCCAGCCAUGUACGUGGCCAUCCAGGCUGUGCUGUCCCUGUAUGCCUCUGGCCGCACCACUGGUAUUGUCAUGGACUCUGGGGACGGGGUCACCCACACUGCCCAUCUACGAGGGGUACGCCCUGCCCCACGCCAUCCUGUGUCUGAACCUGGCUGGCCGGGACCUGAUGGACUACCUCACAAAGAUCCUCACGGAGCGUGGCUACAGCUUCACCACCACCGCCGAGCGGGAAAUCGUGCGUGACAUCAAGGAGAAGCUGUGCUACGUCGCCCUGGACUUCAAGCAGGAGAUGGCCACAGCUGCGUCCUCCUCAUCCCUGGAGAAGAGCUAUGUGCUGCUCGACUGGCAGGUGAUCACCAUUGGCAACGAGCGGUUCCACUGCCCAGAGGCUCUCUUCCAGCCUUCUUUCCUGGGUAUAGAGUCCUGUGGCAUCCACGAGACCACCUUCAACUCUAUCAUGAAGUGUGACAUGGACAUCCGGAAGGACCUCUACACCAACACGGUGCUGUCUGGCAGGACCACCACGUACCCUGGCAUCUCCAACAGGUUGCAGAAGGAGAUCACAGCUCUGGUGCCCAGCACGAUGAAGAUCAAGAUCAUCGCUCCUCCUGAACGCAAGUACUCGGUGUGGAUCGGGGGCUCCAUCCUGGCCUCGCUGUCCACCUUCCAGCAGAUGUGGAUCAGCAAGCAGGAGUAUGACAAGUCAGGCCCCUCUAUUGUGUACCACAAAGGCUCCUGGUAUUCCAUUAUACACUCUCUUCAUUAUGCAUUAUCUUCAUGUGCACAUUUUCAUUGAGAAAACUUCUAGGGAUUAGUUCUUUUUGUAACUAUGAGUUCAUUAUCCAUCUCCCUUGCUAGACUGAGGCUCCAAGGUGCCCUCACAUCUGUAUUUCACCCAACAAUGUGAAUAAGUGACUCAUUAAUGACAUGUCAUUCUCAAUUCUUUAGCGUGUGACAUGGUUAGUUCCGAUUAGCUCAUUUCUAAAUUUGUGGCUUUCGGCAUGACAAAAGGGAAGUACAAAGGUACAUGAAACUGCUAAGUUAAAUUGUAGGACUUUGGGUGAUUGACCUUGAGAAGGAGUGGGUUUUGAAAGCCAUUCCAUUCUCUGUCCCUUUUAGAACAGAAGCUUGAAUCUGUAUACACCAUUUUUGCCAAGAGAGUUAAAUGGAUGGCUGUGGAGGGAGUGCAUUUACAUGGCUUUUCCAGUAACAUGAAGCUUUAAGCCCAUGGAACUGUCCCCAAACAAAAAUUUGGUCUUGGCCACCUAGCUUCUCCCACCCUGGUGAGUCAGGUGGAAGAGUGGGGUAAGUGGUCCUAGAGGGUGUUGUCCUAAGGCUCGCUUUCUCCUGUAAGGGGCACCACUGCCUCAGUUUCCAUGGCCAAAUAAAGGACAUUCUGCAUCAAAACUUGUCUUGAAACUUCACAAUGCAAAUGAGCACAUUAGUGAGGCUGGGAGGUCUGGCAGGGAGUAAAAAAAAAUCUAUUUCAUUUUGCUCAGUUCCUAAGUUUAUUUGGCCAUGUUUAGUCAUAGCAUGCUGUCUUGGAUUAGACUGCACCAGAAGCAGACCCUGAGAUAAGGAUUUAAGUGAAAGAAGGUUUUUUGGGAGGUGAAUUUAUAAAAAGCAUCGGAAGCAGGGAAAGGAAGUGAGAUUGGAAAGGGAAGGAGGCCAGUCCAUGGGGCAUAAAUAAGCAAAUUUACCUUUGGAGGCAACUGGAACUCAGCCUUGCUGGGGACCCAUGGGGGGAGACACCCACCAUAGAGGUGACCUGUCUCAGGAGUAAGGAAGCUAGAUUUUAUUCACCAGCUCUCAUCAGUCAGACACUGAGGGCUGCUUUGGGGGCCACUAGCUCCCUUGUACUUUGGGCCUGCUUUGCAUGGUAUCUAGAGAAUGAUGGCAGGCAAGGACUGGCAGGUGCUCACAACAGACCACUGGUUGUCAUGCACAGGAACUGAGUGCCAAGGGGAGAUGGGUGGGAGCAUGUCUGCUGCCCCCGUGUCCCUCUUUACCUUUUCCUUUUUCACACAGGGCACCCAUUCAUACCUGGUGGAAGUAGUACUUGAGGACCAAAAUUUGGAAAACAAAAUUCCAAAAUUUGGCAUUCAAGCAGUUCAGUGAGUUCCCAGAAGCAAUCCUUUAGCUGAACACACGGAGCCAAUGCUAUGCUAUAGUUUGUAAAACUCCAAAGGGAAUUCCUGUAAAUGCCACCAAAUACCAAACAUAUAAAUCUCAAGGCUCAGCAGAAAGAGCCUUGGGAGAUCAGAACUUAUGGGAUGCUACAUCAAAAAGCCAUCUAAGGAUCCAAACUUAGAAUCAGGUUCUAACUCAGGUUGUCUGUGAAAGAGAAAAGUUCUCUUUCCCACAGCCAAGGGCACAGGGGAUGCCAUACUAACAGUGUCCUGUGUAUGGUGAUGGCAGGCUACAUCCGCAACAAGCUAGAGAUCAUCAUAUGGAGGUACAGACAAAGACAUAGAGCUCUGAGGACCCCACUUCUAUGGAAUGUCUUACAUUCUAGCAAAGUCAGACAAUACAAUACCAGCAAACCAAAAGAGAAAAUGUUCAUAGAUGGUAGUAAAGGUUAUGAAGUCAUUUAAAAGGAUAAUGGGAGAAAGAGUAGCUGGCAGAGAAUUACCUAAGGCUGAGUGAUCUGAAAUGGCAUCUUUGAGGAGGUAAAAUAUGACCUGACACCUCCCUGCUUCCAUAGGGGGAGAAAGAAGGGGAUUUCAGGAGGACAGAACAGUAAGUUCAAAGGUCCUGAGAUGGGAAUAUGAUUGGAGUAUUUAAGGACAGGGGCCUGGAGUACCCUGAAUGAAAGGUAGAGUGCUAACAGUAAGGUUAACAAGGAAGGCUAUAGCUGGAGCACGCUGGGUGGAAAUUUGGUCAAUUUUUCCAUCCAUUUCAUUGUUCUUAAGGGGAAAAAAAAACCCAAAGCAUCAGAGAACAUUUGCUGAAUACCAAAUGAUGCUCCCAUGUUCUAGAUUUCUGAGAAACCUAAGGAAAUUCAUCAAAUUCUGUCUCUAGGCAGCAUCCUAAUGGUCUCAUCUCAUUCUUCAGCAUAUCCCACCAAGAUCUCAAAUGGCUUCACAGAUUAAAACCAGCCCCUAAAAGCUGAAUGCUGACCUACUCUUCAAAGAUCUUAUGUCCCAGUCCCAGAAAGCAAUAAUUGAACAGAAACAGGGCACAGUGUUGCUAGGACCCACUUCUUGCUGGAAGGAAUUCUUCUUGGUCUACACCAUCUGAUUUCACUGAUGGCUUCAACCCAGCCCCUUGAGGCAUACCCCAGGGUGGUCCCCUUCUGGACUGCCAUUCACUGAUUCUGUAGGAAGGAUCCCCAGUGGCACAGCCACAAGGCUCCCUCAGGUUGUCCCUUGAGGAUGAUAUUGGGGAAUCUGUCUCAGGAAUGCACUUAGCCUUGUAAGACAAGAAGAAGGCUGGUUCUUCACUCUCUGGCAAAGCCAGAGUCAGGAGAUGAGGGGAAAGAAGAGGCCAGUUCUUGGCCCUUGGGGACAGAGACAUCACAACAGGGGGCCCCGUCAUCCUGCAGGAGCCUGGACAAACCUCGAUUUUAUUUCACAGCCAGUUACUGGGCAGCGGAUGUACGCGGACGGAGCAGGGCGCUCCUACAGAAGUGAACAGAGCACGGGCCCUGCCCUCAAGGGGUUAUCCUAUAAUAGAAAGAAACACGGACUACUCCUGGUCAUUCCAGGCAGAAUGAAAUCAGCGUCAAAAGGGACAUUCAAACAGAGAACUUCAGGAGAGUAAGGGGAAGAGAAAUUAAUAAGCUCACUGCCUUUCUUUGGCUUGAUGGCAGUUAACUGGGCUAACUAGGUACACAUAGGAUUUUAUGGUUCCCUUGUCACACUCGUGAGUCAGGCUUUUUUAGCUGAGGAAAAGGCAACAGUGUGUCAGGCAACAGAGCACUAUUUUCAAGAGAUGCGGGGAAGUGAGAAGGACAGGAAAACAACUCAUGAAAAGCUAGAACAAUGUCCCCUGUUCCGCAAAGUGACAGCAACUCUGAGGGUUAGGUACUGAGAUAUCUUCUCAUAAGAGGGUUCUCUCUCCCACCCUCACUACCUUCACCUUGUGCUUCUGCUGUUCUCUCUGCAUCUGGGUCCUUCUUUCAAGAUCUUGUUUUUAACAGACCCCUAGCCAGACAAGUCUGUUGGGUGGAAAGAUCAACUCUUACACUUAACCUUGGGCAGGUUGCUUCACCUCUUUGUGCCUUGAUUUCCUAUCUGUGACAGGUGGAUAUUAAUAGUACCUACCUUAAAUGGAUUUUGUGAGGAUUAAAUUAGUUAACACACAGAGACAGAAUGAUGCUACUUCUACCAUUAGGCUAGGGUUCCGUAACUGUGUCCAGGGUAGCAGGCUCUCGUGGACAAAAUGGCUAUAUACCAGUUCCGUUUACUUGGAAGGCAGCUAGGGUUAUUAGAAGUGCAAGGUCUCCUGGAUGCUUAGAAGCUUAGAUUCCUUUCUUCUACAUCACAGCACAUUUUGAAAUAAAUUUUAAAACUUAAAUUCCUAUCAUAAAAUAAUACAGGUUCAUUAAAAACUAUUUAGAAAAAAAUAGUCUAACAAAUAGCAGAUGAAAAUCACAGAGUAGAGGACAUAUGAUUUAAGGGGACUGACCUUGCUACAGGCGUGGGCCAGUGGACUGGGCAGACUCUCCCCUGGGACUUCUGCUAGAGCUGCUAAAAGAUACUCUUCUCUUCUGGGACCUGUAAGACAUAGGAUUAAUAUGUUUGAAGAUUCUGAUGGUGAAGAAUAGAGAAGAAAGCAGAUUCCAGCUUCCUGGAAGAAGAGAAAGAAAGGUGGGAAACGCAAGCUCUCCAAUGACAGUGUGGGGACCUGGAUCCAACACCUAUUUUUUGGCCAAAAAGUUGUAUGAGCCAAUAUGUUUCUUCCAUAGAUUUUUUCACUUCAACUAGUUUCGGCUGAGAUUCUGUUACUUGUAAAUGAAAUAAUUUUGACCAACCAUCCAGAAAUAACCACAUUUGCAUGUGUGUAUACUUCCUUCCAGUCUUUCUUUCUCUUUCAAGCUCUCUGCAUAGUUGUUUUUUUGUUUUGUUUUGUUUUGUUUUGUUUUGUUUAAUGAGAGAGGAUCUUAAUCUACAAAUUUUAAUACUUUUUUUCUUUCCUGAUCCUGUUACAAAGUUUAGUGCCUCUGGUUAGCAUCUAAGUCUUUUUGAGAGAGGACAGAAGAAUUUAUGCUGUCCCCCACCCCCUCCCCUGUCACCCUUCUGCUCCCUGAAAGAUAUUUCAGAGGGCAAGGGGCUAUCCCAUGAUACCCAUGGGUUGGCAGUUCCUUCCACGCUCAGUUCUAUAGUGCCGGGCUGGAGACCAUCAGCUUUGAUAGAGACUUUGGCCUUAGGUCAGCUUGGACUCCUGCCUGGUCUUUCAAAGCACUUUCCUUUUAAAGCCUCCAAACCCAGCAUUUUCCAUAAACAUCUUGCUGCCUUUUUUUUUUUUAAGUGGAGAGAAAUUCAAGGGUGAACAUACUGUAUAUUAAUGGUGGUCUAGGGACAAGCAACAUGGACCAGAGUUUCAGGGAUCCAAAAAAAGAUGCACAGAGUGCAUUGGACUGCCAAACAACCAUUUGGAGCAUAACUGAAAAUUGAAAAUGCUGUAAUGACAUGGUCAGAAUUAUACCUGCAAUUCCUAAAGAAAAUCUGAGGUGAAGUAGCCAUUGCUUUCUAAUUAGCAUGAUCUGAUAAUGCAGGCUACAGAACAUUUGCUAGUAAUUAUGGUGCUUGCUUGCUCUGCUUAUAGCUCAAAAAUAACAGCAAAGUUUGUUUUGCUAAUCUCGCCUCUGGAUUUGUGAAUUAUUUGCUUUCAUUAUCUGAAAGAUAAACUGGAAAGAAAAAUCCAACGCAGGGGGAAUUUUUAUAAGACAGAACACUCGAGUUGUCUUUGGAUGUGGACGCCACACUUAAUUUAAUAAAAACCAAAGCAGACCAUGUUGGAAGCUCUAACGGAGGAAUGUGUUUAUAAUGAGGGAAGUGCCACAGGUCAGAAAACAAACAUGGGCUUCGAAACUGUGGAUCAUGAUCAUACCCACUAUCUCUUAUUCUGCUGGGUGAUUCUGAGCAAGUCAUAUCACCUUCCCGGGUUCUGACUGCCCUGUUCUGCCCAGAGUAGCAAUCAUACCUGCUCUGCCCAUCUCAGAGGCUGUGAAGAAAACAAGAGAUAGUAUGCUUUAGAUGAUUAAGAUUUCUUUUAUAAACACAAAACUAUAACACUAUUAUUAAUAUUCAGAUAAUGUUCUCUAGAAUUUACAGAGUGCUCACGCAUCGAACAGAUGGUGCUGUUAUAAUUCCUAGCCAUCUUUCCCACUCUGUAGAUCCCAGAUGUCAGCCACUUGACUAGAAAGAGAUUCCGUUUUAGGGGCACCUGGGGUGGCUCAGUUGGUUAAGCAUCUGCCUUCAGCUCAGGGCACGAUCCUGGAGUCCUGGGAUCGAGUCCCACAUCGGGCUCCCUGCUCGGCGGGGAGUUUGCUUCUCCCUCUGACCCUCCCCCCUCUCAUGCUCUGUCAUUCUCUCUCUCUCUCAAAUAAAUAAAUAAAAUCUUUUAAAAAAAGAGAUUCUGUUUUAGAGUCAGGGAGUCAGGGAUUUUCACCUCAGUACUGGCUGUGUGACCUUAGGCAAGUUAGUGACCUCUUUGGUCUUGGAUACAUCCUGGAUGCAAUGGGGAUAAAGAAACACCUGCCACCUGCCUAGCUGCCUGAAACCUUUCUGCUAGAUAGCAGGUACACAUAUGUAUUUACAGUAAGCAGUCACACUCAAGUAUGAAGUUCAAAUAGGCUGAUAGACGAGUACAGCAAUUAUAAUAACAUCCAUAAUAGCUGCUAUUUUUUUAACCACUUUCUCUGCCUUGGGCACCAUUCUAAAACCUUUACAGGCAUGAACUAAGGGACGCUCAUUGCAGUUCUGUGAGGAAAAUGCUGUCAUUCUCCCUUUAUGGAUGAGCAAACUGAGGCAUGCAGGGAUGAAAUAUUUUAGCCAAGUCCAUCCAGCUAAUAAGUGGCCCCGCUGGGAUACGGUGCAGGAAGUCUGGCUCCAGAGCCUGCCCUGGAAACAUUUAUUCUGCAUUGUCUCUCUAACUGCUAACAUUUAUUGAGGGCUUACUAUGUGAGCUUUGCUCUACCAUUCUUCUAAGUAGUUUAUAAUAAUUAACUCAAUAUUCUCAGCAAACCUUGAUUAGAGUUAUUGUUUAGUUUUAAAAAAUGAUGCCCAGUGAAGAUUGUCAGAUAAAUGAUAAAUAAUUUUUAUUAUAAGUAUGUCCCAUGCAAUAUUUAGCAUAUGCUUAUACUAAGAAAGUACUGUUUACCUGAAAUUAAAAUUAAAAUUUAACUGGGCAUUCUGUAUUUCAUCUGACAACCCUACCCUGAGAGGAGGUAGGAGCUAAUCUAGUUCCUUGUACUGAGUGGACUUUGGAAAAUAGUAAUUUCUACCAUUAUUGGUAUUGUCAGGUUAUUUAUUCUGACAUCUGUUUUCAAUUGUUUCUCUAGCCAACGAAAAUCAGAAGCUAUAUGCAUAAAGAAAAUAAUUAUGAUAUAUUAAUAAAAUAAAUUAAUAGUGCCUCUGUAACUCUUUCACUGAUACGGUCUAAAUGGAGCCUCAUGAUGAUCCUAUAAAUAUUGUGCCUAUUUAAUAAUGAGAAAACUGAAUCUUGGAGCCAUUAAAUAAUUUGCCCAAGGGCACAGAAAUAAAAAAAGCCUAAAUUAGAAGGGGCACCUGGGUGGCUCAGUCAGUUAAGCGUCCAACUCUUAGUUUUGACUCAGGUCAUGAUCUCAGGGUCGUGGGAUCGAGCCCCAUGUCAGGGUCCAUGCUGAGCGUGGAACCUGCUUAAGAUUCUCUCCUUCUCCCUCUCCCUCUGUCCCUCCCCCUGCCCAGUUCCUGAAUGUGUCUGCUCUCUCUCUCUAAAAAAAAAAAAAAAAAAGCUAACUAGAACAUCACAUUGUGGUCUCUAGGAUAUGAGAGCCAUGUUAUUACAUAUCAGGUUUUAAAAUGAAGAAAAUUGGAGUCUGGAUUCUAGCCCCAAUUUCCUUUAAUGGCAGGACAUAUCUGAAAACUCAAAGCACAGUCAUCUCUAUAAAACCAGUCAGCCCCAAAAGAAAAGGCAGAGAGAAAAAUCUCUUCAAAAUCACUAUUAAGUCAUUGAUAGGGAUUUAAAUGGUGCAACAAGAUCAUCUCACAUACUUUUUUCUUGCCCCUAGUUACUACUUUUUCCUUGCCAUGGUGCCACAACUCUCAGUGAUAUGUCUGGAUAGUUUCCAUUUAUUGAGAAGUUUUAGUGUUCCAGAUACCUUGAUAAGAACUUCACUAUCCCCUCAAAAACCAAGAGGUAAAAUCCUCAUUGCAUAUAUGGGAACACUGAGGCUCUGCAAAUUGUCAAGGUUUAGCUUCUGGCUAAAAAGUGACAGAGCUGAGCCUGCACCCCAAUCUUAUAUUACUCCACAACCUAUUCUUCUGACAGAUGCAUGACACACGUGCUACCAUGAUCGGUCUGAUGCCCACUGCAGACAUGACUAGUCAAUCAUGGUGUUCUUUCCCUUUGAGCCCGGAAAGGAGCCCAGAAUCCUUCUAUAAACAUUAUUCUGGGCAGCCACUACUGGUCAAUAGCAGCAGACAUUCAAUGUCAUUACCUACUAGCUACCCCUGCGAUACCUCCUCCUGAUGAACACCUCCAUCGUAAUGGCUACAGUGAAAAAAUAGUCAACUCUGCAGGCUGCGUGAUGAAUGCUACUUUAAGGAGACUGUUUGGUAAGUCCCAGAAAUGGAAUUCAUCUGAGAUGUGAUGGUUCAGAGGCUGCAGUCCAACUGCUACUUAUAAAGAGAGAGAGAGGAUACCAUGUGAAGAGCCCGGGGCUCUCUGCCACCAAGCCAGUUGUGAAGCCACCAUUUCCAAAGUCUUGAUGCUGCUGUGAUGGUCUGUUGCUUUCCACAGGAGGAAAACUGCACUCUACUCCAGCCAAUCAGGAGGCUCAACAUCCCGCCUCCUCUCUGAGGAGUUAGGUUUCAUUCUCAGACAGCAUGCUCUCACAGGCUAAUGACUGGUUGGAAGCUGAGAGUGUCCUCACAUUGUGACACAGCACAGAUUUAAGAGAGCAACAGGCCAUUCCUCUGGCUUCCCUGUCUGGAAACCAAGCCCAGCUGGUUCACUCCUUUGUGCCCCCAGUUCCCCCCACUAUCCCCCCACCCCCAGCCCACAUAUAAUGAUGCUUUUCUUCUUUCCCUUUCUUGGGGGAAGGAUUUAAGAGCUGCGUGGACACACCCAAGGCAUUGUUAGUGAAAGUUCAGGAAGAGACCGUGAACCCAGUUAGGAAUGAGCAGAAUCAAAAUGAGAGUGGGAGGGAGAAAAAAGGGAACAUUAUCCUUUAACUAUGCCUAUUGCUAAGAUAAUAGAACUCGUAGGUCUCACGAUGAGGACCCCCAAAUUAUAUUUAGGCCCCAUCUUCCUCACCUCCAUCAUUGUCAAAACCAACCAAGAACAAGUUUAUCAGGGUCAAAUAUACCUUGAGAGCCAGGAAAGGCUGUUCAGAGUCCACAAAUAAAGCAGGGAUGUAAAAACUUAGAAAGGUGGUCCAAGGGUGUGAUAUAUUGCAGGGGGCACACAUGAGGGGAAAGAGAAACAAGUGAGGGUCUAGAGCAGACAUCCAGCACAGAGAGGCAACGAGUUGGAAGGGAAUUGGUACCAUGCACCAUUAUGAAGAGUGAGAGGAUUUGUAAACACUGACAUGGAGAGUAGCUAAGGGCUUAGAUUCUAAAGCCCAGCUCUGAAGAUUGAAUCCAGACUCAUCUCCUGCUAGCUGUGUGGCCUCAGACAAGUUACCUAUAAUCUCUAGGACUCAAUUUCCCCAUCUGGAAAUGAGAACAUUAAUAGCACUUGUCCCGUGGUGCCGUUCUGAGAAUUGUGUGAGAUAAUUUGUAUAGGGUGCUUAGCACAGAGACUGGCACCUAAAUAAUUCAGCACAUGGAAUUAUCUCUAUAAUCUAAAUAUGUCUACAAUAUUCAGAUUUUUAGAGGUUAUAUAAUACUAUUUAUUAAAUUAUCCCAUUUAUAGAAAACAUUUCUUUAUACAUAUAUACUUACUCACAAAAGGAGAAAAAAUAAAGCUUUGAAAGAUAUGGACCAAACCCUGUUAACCAUGGGGACACAAUGAUUUUUUUUUUCUGCUUUAUAUAUUUCUGUAUCUUUUGGCAUUUAUCUGUACUAGGAGCAUGUAUUAUUUCUAUAAGAAAAUAAAGAUACAACUAUUAAAAAUUCAAAUCAAAUGACUUCUGACCCUGGAGCUUGGAAUUUAAUGUGAGUUCUAAAAGAGACCAAGGUGGCCCCAACAUCCUUAAGGAAGAAACAGAUGUUCCCUGCUGGGGUCAGCCUUAAUGACAAGAAAGGACAACCACUUGGUAAGAGUGAAAAUGACAAGGAUGAAAGUGCUUAGUGAUGCAAAAUGGAGCAAAACGGGCAAGGUGUGAGGCCACAACACACAAAACCUUGUAGUUUUCGUACCGAGAGUAGAUAUGACCCACCUUCCACCAUUUUUAAUGAAAUAAGGUUCUUUGUAUCGUCUUCCAUGAAGGUAAAGUUUAUUCCUCUGCCAGUGGCCAUGUCUGGACUGCACAACAGGUGAAUAAAGCUUGGAAAAAUGGCAAUAUAUCUCAAAGAAAAAUUUUAGAGCCUAUUUGCCAAGUGAAGAAGGAUUUGUAUGGCCGCCUUUGAUUGAAGCACUCUGAACGUUAGAAAAUAAUUGUGAAAAUAUAAAGAGAGGCCUGCUGAUUGGGUUGAGGUUUUGGGAACUGGCAAUUAAUCCAAGAAGCUGAUUUUAAUUGGAUAGAGAGGGAAUAAAAUUUUUAUUGUAUUACUCUAGUUGCAAUGCAUUCCAAGUAUGGUUUUUUUCAACCAGUAU